GAAAGCGAGAGAGAGGAGAGAUAGAGAGAGAAAGUAGAGAAUCAACCAAGUUUAAGGCCCCGAAUCCCGAAGCUCAUGAAGGAUAAAGUGUAGUACAAGUUGUUGUCGUCAUUUUAAGCUAAAGAUCGGACUUGGGAGUGUUGAUUUCGUGGUGACUACCCAAAAGAUUGAAGUUGAAGGGGGUUGAAGAACAUUGUGAUAAGCUCAAAAGCGGGAAGUUAAGGUACAAACUUACAGGACGACGCCUCUGCUCAUUAGGAUCUGCACGUACCAGCUUAUUGGUGAGCCCCAUCUCAUUCGGGGUUUACUUAAUUGUUGUUUAUGAUUAGUUAUGCAUCUGAGGUAUGCUGGGGGCCUUGUCCCAGUAAGUAUGUAUUCCAAUCAGACUCAUGAUAGAGGUUUCAUAGACUAGACGAGUCAGUUAUGUCAUGUCAGACAUUUGGAGUCGUAUAGCCAUUUUGGCUCACUCAUGUUUAAACAAGUAUUUUAUUAAGUAUUAUGACUUACCAUGUUUUAU